UACGAAGGGAGCUAGCGUUGUUCGGAAUCACUGGGCGUAAAGCGCGCGUAGGUGGCUUUGCAAGUCAGAGGUGAAAUCCCGGGGCUUAACCUCGGAAUUGCCUUUGAAACUGCAAAGCUUGAGUACUGGAGGGGAUGGUGGAAUUUCUAAUGUAGCGGUGAAAUGCGUAGAUAUUAGAAGGAACACCGGUGGCGAAGGCGACCAUCUGGACAGUCACUGACACUGAGGCGCGAAAGCGUGGGGAUCAAACAGG
rnacentral:rRNA from 2 species